AAGGGUGCUUGCACCUUUCAAGUGAGUGGCGAACGGGUGAGUAACACGUGUGACAACCUGCCUCAAGGCUGGGGAUAACAUUUGGAAACAAAUGCUAAUACCGAAUAGAACUCAUUGUCUCAUGACACAAAGUUAAAAGGCGCUUUGGCGUCACCUAUAGAUGGAUCCGCGGUGCAUUAUUUAGUUGGUGGGGUAAAGGCCUACCAAGACAAUGAUGCAUAGCCGAGUUGAGAGACUGAUCGGCCACAUUGGGACUGAGACACGGCCCAAACUCCUACGGGAGGCUGCAGUAGGGAAUCUUCCACAAUGGGCGAAAGCCUGAUGGAGCAACGCCUCGUGUGUGAUGAAUGCUUUCGGGUCCUAAAGCACUGUUGUAUGGGAAGAACAGCUAGAAUACGGAAUGAUUUUAGUUUGACGGUACCAUACCAGAAAGGGACGGCUAAAUACGUGCCAGCAGCCGCGGUAAUACGUAUGUCCCGAGCGUUAUCCGGAUUUAUUGGGCGUAAAGCGAGCGCAUACGGUUGAUUAAGUCUGAUGUGAAAGCCCGGAUCUCAACUCCGGAAUGGCAUUGGAAACUGGUUAACUUGACUGCAGUAGAGGUAAGUGGAACUCCAUGUGUAGACGGUGGAAUGCGUAGAUAUAUGGAAGAACACCAGUGGCGAAGCGGCUUACUGGACUGUAACUGACGUUGAGGCUCGAAAGUGUGGGUAGCAAACAGGAUUAGAUACCCUGGUAGUCCAC
rnacentral:rRNA from 1 species